rnacentral:rRNA from 1 species
AACAAACGCUGGCGGCAUGCCUUACACAUGCAAGUCGAACGGCAGCGCGGACUUCGGUCUGGCGGCGAGUGGCGAACGGGUGAGUAAUGUAUCGGAACGUACCAUUGAGUGGGGGAUAACGUAGCGAAAGUUACGCUAAUACCGCAUAUUCUCUCCGGAGGAAAGCAGGGGACCGCAAGGCCUUGCGCUCUUUGAGCGGCCGAUAUCAGAUUAGCUAGUUGGUGGGGUAAAAGCUCACCAAGGCGACGAUCUGUAGCGGGUCUGAGAGGAUGAUCCGCCACACUGGAACUGAGACACGGUCCAGACUCCUACGGGAGGCAGCAGUGGGGAAUUUUGGACAAUGGGGGCAACCCUGAUCUAGCCAUGCCGCGUGAGUGAAGAAGGCCUUCGGGUUGUAAAGCUCUUUCGGCCGGGAAAAAAUCGCAUGGAUUAAUACACUGUGUGGAUGAUGGUACCGGAAUAAGAAGCACCGGCUAACUACGUGCCAGCAGCCGCAGUAAUAC